rnacentral:rRNA from 1 species
CCUACGGGUGGCAGCAGUGGGGAAUCUUGCGCAAUGGGCGACAGCCUGACGCAGUAACGCCGCGUGGAGGAUGACGGCCUUCGGGUUGUAAACUCCUGUCAGGGGGAACGACGCCCGGUGCCCGAACACGGCGCCUGGGUCGACGGUACCCCCAAAGGAAGCCCCGGCUAAUUCCGUGCCAGCAGCCGCGGUAAUACGGAAGGGGCAAGCGUUGUUCGGAAUCAUUGGGCGUAAAGGGCGCGUAGGUGGUGGCGUAUGUCCGCUGUGAAAGGCCCCAGCUUACCUGGGGCACGGCGGUGGAAACUGCGCCGCUCGAGGCUGGGAGGGGCUGGUGGAAUUCCCUGUGUAGCGGUGAAAUGCGUAGAGAUGGGGGAGAACACUCGUGGCGAAGGCGGCCAGCUGGACCAGUCCUGACACUGAGGCGCGACAGCGUGGGGAGC